ensembl:lncRNA
UAUUUCGGCAACACAGUCUCACCCCUAUUCGUCACAUACUGCCGUUUGGUCAUUUCCCCCUCACGUCCAUAAGCCGACGUUGAGGGUACCCCCUAUUCGUCGCUUGACAACGUAGAGGGUCGUCUGAUAGAUUUGAGUGCAAAUCCCUCAUCUUUGAAUUUUGACGAAAUGGGGUUAUCCAUCCAGCGGUUUGCCUGCGCUGGAAAGUAUGGUUUCAGGUUCCUUAAUCCCUGUCCUUUUAAAAAAACAGCACCUCAUUACAUCGGAAAAAAAAGGCACUUUUAAGAGCCACAUUUGUUUUGUAUCUUGUUACUCUCUCUACUGUUGUAUUGUGUCUCUCUCUCUCUUGCUGUCUUACUGUCUCUCCCUCCCCUCUGAGUGGGGUUUUUGUUUGUUUGUUUUGUCUUUUUUUGUCCCUGAGUGUUUAUAGUGUGUUUAUAUUUUGUGCCAUGUCUGAUCCUGAGAUGGACCGUCUCCUGAAUGAGAUGAGUGACCUUGUCGAUCAGGCUGAACAUCAAGCUCACCUCCAACAGCUCAUUAGCAUGCACCAGGAAGCAGAACCAUCCACCGGUCAGCCUUCCACCAGUAAUCCAUCCACCAGCCGGCCAUCAAAAAGCAAGCAAGAUGUUAGGUGGAUUAAGAGGGACAGUGAUGGAAACAUUAUUUACGGCAGGCCCAGAUCAUCCCGGAAACAAGCAGCAGGUCCCAGUCACAGCCAGAGUCGAAAGACUGGUGUCUCUCAUAUCAGGGCUCCUGAAACCAGUGCGGAAAUGACCAGUGACUUUCCUUCCGUUACUGCAGAGUCCUUCCUUCAAGAGUUUAAAAGCUCACUGUUUGAGGAAAUACAUGACGAUGAAACGGUACUUCAAGCCUCAACAGACUGGUCGACCCGAAAGAGCCUCAUAUCAGGGUGGUGGGAGAAAGAGAGACCCCGACUGGUCAACACCAUGGUGGCUCGACAACAUGCGGCAACUCGGAUCUGCCAACAUUGUGGAAAUGGUCCAGCCGUAAUCCGUUGUUGUGACUGCCGACCACACCCAUUCCUCUGUGGUCAGUGUGAUGUCAGGGUCCACCGAGGUCAAGUGUUCCACAACAGGGAUUCGAUGACACAUGCAUUCUUUCAUCCAUUGCCUCCCACAACUUGUGUUGUGGAGAGGGUUCUAACCCAGUGUGAGCGUCUUGUACCUUUGGAGAUGCCAGAGACAAUAUGCGGUUGUCUACGAGUAUCGUCCAGUGUCAUCGCAGGACAGUCCAUAGUUGUGGUUACAAUGAAUGGGCGAUAUGAUCUCAGAUUGCCUCAGAUUAGAUGCAAAGCAUGUGAAGCCACUUGGAGUCCUGGAGUGGAUGACCUGAUCCGUAAUGACUACUGGCCUGCCACUUCUCACUAUUCAACUGUGUAUGCAACAGAUGUCCUUUUUUCUUUUGAAGAGCUGAAGAUGGCAGCACCAGGGAUGUCUAGCCAAGCAUUUCUUAGAAUGCUGGAUCAACGCACUGUUCGCUUUGGCCGUAGCGGAAACAUCACAGCAGACAGCUUCCGGAAAAGCUUUUUGGAGUGGGAAGCUGUCCGAUUCGAAGUGGACAAAUUAUGCCAGGAGGACCACUUUGACUGCCCAGCGUGCAGCCCAGACAUGCUUGCAGUAUCCGUUGAUGGAAACCGUAAGCACUACAGAUUCAAGAGUGCAGCAAGAUCGGAGGAAAAAGCCAUCUUUGAUGGCGUGUUCAUCGCAAAUGAUGAUGAUGUAGCAAGAUUCGUUGACUAUGUCCAUACCUCAACCAGUCAUGUCUCUGGAAGAGGUGUCUGUGGAGGGCAAUGGUCAGCGGCACGUGAAACGUCUCAGAAGUCCUCAGGAAAAACAGACGAGGAGGGCCUGGAGCUCGCUGUAUGUCGUCAUGGGGUUCUCCUUCGUGCCCUCAAUAUGUUCAGGGGGGAGAUUUUUGCCUACCCCCUGUACCUCCGAAAGCAAAUGGCCUGUAAGCCAGUUAAAUUUUUUGCAAUGGAUGUGGCAUGCAAGUACUGGCCUUACCUCCAGAGAGUGACAGAGAAAUGCCCUGAGCUUGAGGAUCUCCUCACCAUGAGGCCAUUUCUUUCUGUUUUUCAUGCCAAAGCUCAUGAUUUCAAAUGUGAGGUAAAAUGGAGUGGAGCAUAUCAGGAGGGGGCUGGUUCGACUCUUGGGGAAGAGGUGGAGCAGUGCAACGCCUUCCUCUCGAGGAUUGCUGUUACGACAAAGCACAUGUCAAAAGCAGGACGCAUAGACAUGCUGACGAUCAUGGCCAUGCGCUGGAACCAACAAAAGUUUGACAACUUGGCUUCUACCCUUGCCCGCCGAUAUCGGAAGGCCACAAUAGCCCUGCAAUGCCAGUUGCAUAACCUGGAGGCCAUGAAAACGGAAAUGGACGUCUCAGACAAUCAACUGGAGAGGUGGAUCACUGAUAUCAAUGAGUGGGCAGAAGCAACAACAUCCCCAAAUGAUGCUGAUGUUGCCGCUGUUGCCAGCCGAAUUGAGGAGCUGGUGGCAAGUGUUAAGAGGAGGUCCCAGCGUCUUUACAAGGAUAGUGACGGAUGCAAAGGACGUGCCCGAAUCCGCCGAAAGAUCAGGGAGGAAAAAAAAAUCUUAAAUUCUGUAGUGGAAAAGUAUAACACCUUGGUUCCUAAUGCAGAAAAACUGACAUUGGACACCAUUCUAUCUGAUGAGAUUGUUUGGCGAUGGCAGCUUACACACGGUG